GAUGAACGCUGGCGGCGUGCCUAAUACAUGCAAGUCGAGCGAACAGACGAGGAGCUUGCUCCUCUGACGUUAGCGGCGGGCGGGUGAGUAACACGUGGAUAACCUACCUAUAAUACUGGGAUAACUUCGGGAAACCGGAGCUAAUACCAGAUAAUAUAUUGAACCGCAUGGUUCAAUAGUGAAAGACGGUUUUGCUGUCACUUAUAGAUGGAUCCGCGCCGCAUUAGCUAGUUGGUAAGGUAACGGCUUACCAAGGCAACGAUGCGUAGCCGACCUGAGAGGGUGAUCGGCCACACUGGAACUGAGACACGGUCCAGACUCCUACGGGAGGCAGCAGUAGGGAAUCUUCCGCAAUGGGCGAAAGCCUGACGGAGCAACGCCGCGUGAGUGAUGAAGGUCUUCGGAUCGUAAAACUCUGUUAUUAGGGAAGAACAAAUGUGUAAGUAACUAUGCACGUCUUGACGGUACCUAAUCAGAAAGCCACGGCUAACUACGUG
rnacentral:rRNA from 1 species